CUUCCGUAGGUGAACCUGCGGAAGGAUCAUUACAGAGUUCAUGCCCGAAAGGGUAGACCUCCCACCCUUGUGUAUUAUUACUUUGUUGCUUUGGCGAGCUGCCUUCGGGCCUUGUAUGCUCGCCAGAGAAUACCAAAACUCUUUUUAUUAAUGUCGUCUGAGUACUAUAUAAUAGUUAAAACUUUCAACAACGGAUCUCUUGGUUCUGGCAUCGAUGAAGAACGCAGCGAAAUGCGAUAAGUAAUGUGAAUUGCAGAAUUCAGUGAAUCAUCGAAUCUUUGAACGCACAUUGCGCCCCUUGGUAUUCCGGGGGGCAUGCCUGUUCGAGCGUCAUUUCAACCCUCAAGCUUAGCUUGGUAUUGAGUCUAUGUCAGUAAUGGCAGGCUCUAAAAUCAGUGGCGGCGCCGCUGGGUCCUGAACGUAGUAAUAUCUCUCGUUACAGGUUCUCGGUGUGCUUCUGCCAAAACCCAAAUUUUUCUAUGGUUGACCUCGGAUCAGGUAGGGAUACCCGCUGAACUUAAGCAUAUCAAUAAGCGGAG
rnacentral:rRNA from 1 species